CUCUCCCCCAUUUUUGUCUCUGUCUCCCACUCCGCACAGGUACCGAGAACUUUCUGGGCUGUAACGUCCCCGACCUCGCUGAUGGCGUUGCCUGGGCUUUGCAAAUAUGCGGAGGAGACUCACGGGGCAUCUGGGCCUCAGCACUGAAAUCGACGGGAUUUCUCUGGCUGGUGUUUGAGCUGCCUGUAUCCGAAUAAAUCCAGCUCUCAAGCGUCCGGCAGGAAACGGCUCCGGGUUUGCGCGUACGCAGACGCAUCGGCCAGCGCGGGACGCGUUGUGGCUCCUCCUGUUCCGUGCCGCGGCAGGUCCGGCCUCUGAGGGAGGCUAGCCCAGCAGCGCCUUUAGGCCGAACGGCCGCUCGCGGCCCGGCAGUGCCUGGCAGCUCCCAUCUCCGGCGGUAGUCGGCAACCGCUGGGCCAAGUCCGCCCGCGGCGAAAACUGAAAGCAAAUUCCGCGGCAGAUGAAGCCCGAACUUUCUUGGACGCAAGUUUGCAGUAGAGAUUCGGUGGCGGCUUUGGGAGGACAGCGCGCUAGUGUGUGCGCGCGCAAGGUGGGGCGGUGGGCGAAGAGAGCACCCGGCGGCCGAGCCUGGCCCGAGGCGAAACACUAGGGAAGGCGCCUUCCCUUCUUUAUUUCUCGCCAACUCCUCGGCUCCUGUCCGUAAAAAUAGUUUCCAAGGUGCCUCGGACGCCCAGAAUGUGUUUAUGGGGAUCGCACCAGAGAAAGGAAGGCUUUGUAAAAGUUGUAGAAAGAGCUUUGCGCAGCGUUCGCCCAGCGGGGUUCAAGAAAGCUUGGGACUAGCUCGCCUUCCCUGGGGAGGAAUAGCCAGAAAUUGGCCUGGGGAGCCCCCUGCCUAGUCCUGUCCCCUCACCUCCAACCCACGAGUAUAUAAGCUCUCGCUGCCUGCGCUGCAAACUUCUCGGCGCGGCGCCGCGGUCAGCGGGCGAGGACAGGACGCAGAGCGGGCCGGCAAGGCCGCUCCUCGGAGCUCUCAGCCCCAGCCCUGAGUGAGGCUUGCGCGGAGGUGAGAGGACGAGUGUGGUUCCCGCUCCCACUUGGCUGCCGAAACCGUCAUCGCCGACCUCCCAACUCCCGGAGCCGGCGCUUCCCCUGGGAGCGGCGGUCUUGGGGGGCUGGCGAGGGCGCAAAGUGCGCGUGCGAAGCGAAGCGCACGAGGGCGGGGGCGGCCGCGGGUCU
rnacentral:lncRNA from 1 species